ensembl:rRNA 5S_rRNA 5S ribosomal RNA
AUCUAUGGCCAUACCACCCUGAAUGUGCCCGAUCUUGUCUGAUCUGGGAAGCUAAUCAGGGUUGGGCCUGGUUAGUACUUGGAUGGAAGAAAGUAAGAAGAUAGGAAAAGGAUUAUAGCUU